rnacentral:rRNA from 1 species
GACAGAGGUGGCGAGCGUUGUUCGGAUUUACUGGGCGUAAAGCGUGGGUAGGCGGUCCGGCCAGUCAGAUGUGAAAUCCCACCGCUUAACGGUGGAACGGCGUCUGAUACUACCGGACUCGAGUGCAGGAGAGGAGAGUGGAAUUUCCGGUGUAGCGGUGAAAUGCGUAGAGAUCGGAAGGAACACCAGUGGCGAAGGCGGCUCUCUGGACUGCAACUGACGCUGAGACACGAAAGCGUGGGGAGCAAACAGG